rnacentral:rRNA from 1 species
AAAAAUUAGUAUAAACGGAUAGUAGAUGGAUAAUUAGGGUGUUAUAGAGAGGAAACGUAAUAGAAACGAAAAAAGGCUAAGAGAGGAUAAGGCCAAGUGUUUCAAGAAAGACAAGAAAGAAAUCUUAAGAAUUGAAACAUCUUAGUAUUAAGAAAAAAAUAAAUCAAGCGAAGAUUUCGUAAGUAGUGGUGAGCGAAAACGAAUAAAAGUAUGGGUGAUUAUUAAUGAAUUCCAAAGAGGGUAACAGUCCCGUAAGAUUGACAAAGUUUUGAAGUAGAAUUAUUUGAAGUAGGGUGUUCCAUACAUCUAAAGCUAAAUAAUAUAGCACACCGAAAGCGAAUUAGUACUGUGAAGGAAAAUUGAAAGAGAAAAUAAAAUGAAAAAGAUUUUGAAAUUUACUAUUUAUAAGCAGAUGGAGUUCAUCGUACCUUUUGAAUAAUGGGUUCAUAAGAAAAAUAUUUGGCAAACUUAAGUUAAUAAAGUGAAAGUAGAGUGAAAACAAAUUUGAAUGUGAGGGGUAUUAGUCAGGUAGAGCCCGAAACCAAGUGAUCUAGCUAUGAGCAGUUUGAAGCUUUCUUAAUCGAGAGUGGAGGAACGAACCGGUAAUUGUAGCAAAAAUUUCGGAUGAUUUGUGGCUAGGGGUAAAAAGCCAAUCGAACUUGGAGAUAGCUGGUUUUUUGCGAAAACUAUUUAAGUAGUGUGUUAUUAAGAAGGAUUUUUAUAUGGUAAAGCACUGAAGGGGCCUAUCUAUAAGGUGGGUUCAAUCAAACUAUGAAUGUAUAAAAAGAAGUAAUAAUAGACAGACAAUGGGCGAGAAGGUUCAUUGUCAAAAGGGGAACAACCUAGAUCAAAAGUUAAGGUCGUUAAGGGCUUUAAACUAAGUGUUAAAAAGAGUUAUUUGGUGGGGACAGUAAGAAAGUAGGCUUGGAGCCAGCCAUCUUUAAAAGAUUACGUAAUAGUUCACUUAAUAAAUUAAUAAUUCUUAAAAAUUAUGGCGGCUUAAGUUUAAAAAUACCGAAACUUUGAAUAGAAAAUAAGAGGAUCCCUCUGGGAUCAUAAUGCCAACGAUUUUAGGAUAAAAUUCGGAUCCCUUCGGGAUCUUUAUCAUCUUUGAUGAUCUUGGAGAGUAUGGUGGCUUAAUAUAUUAAUCUAGCAUAAAAAUUAUGGUAGCAAAACGUUUAGUAGUGAAAGAUUCUAUUGAAAAAGGGUAUCUAAAGUGAUAAUGUGAACAUGAGUAAAGAACAAUGUGAGAAUCAUUGCUCACAGCCCAAGGUUUCCAAUAAAAAGAUGUUCUGAAUUGGGUUAUACAGUUUUUAAGGGGAUACUGAUAAAAAAAAAAAAAAUAAAAAGUGGAAGAGAUUAUUCUAUAGCUUUAUACUGUACUAAAUCUAACACGAGUGGGCAAAAGUGAUGGUAUAAUUUAUCUUAAGGAACUCGGCAAAAUGGCCUUGUAAGUUCGCAAGAAAAGGUGCUAAUUAUUUAAUCAUAAAAUUGGGUAAGUAAUUGGUCUCAGCAAAGAGGGGGUGUCGACUGUUUACCAAAAACAUAGCUUUCAGCAAAAAACCGUUGGUUUGAAGUAUUGAAGGUGAGGCCUGCCCAGUGGUUGUAUCUCAACCCAAAUGAUAGAAAAAGUUGUUUGGUUAAGGGCAAUUAAACGGCCGCGGUAAAUCUGACCGUGAUAAUGUAGCGCAAUCAAUAGCCAAUUAAUUGUUGGCAAGUAUGAAUGGCUUAACGAAUGCCCUACUGUCUCAAGAUAAAAACCAAUGAAAUUGAAGUUGUAGUGAAGAUGCUACAUAUAAAUUAUAAGACGAGAAGACCCCGUUGAGCUUUACUGGAGGCUUAUAUGGUCUUUUUCCAAUUAAUAUUUAGAUUAUGUGGGUGUUAUUAACCGAUUAAAAAGGAGAUAAAUGUGGAAUACCACUUGUUAAUAAGGGGGAAGACUAAUAAAAAUAAUGUAAACUCAUGUAAACUAGUAUAAGUUUGACAGUUUAGUUGGGGCGACUACCUUCUAAAUAGUAACGAAGGCGGGCAUAAGGUAAAUAAUCUAAUAGAAUAAAGUAAAAAGCCUGACAGCAAGAAGGACUUUCAAGCUGACACAAAUAAAAGGUUUUAUAUUGUGGGCUGUAAUGACCCGUUAGUGAAUAGUGGGAUUGCUAACGAUUAACGAAUAAAAGUUACCACGGGGAUAACAGCGUAAUAUUGUUUGAGAGUUCUUAUCGACGACAAUGUUUGCGACCUCGAUGUUGAAUUGUGAUAUCCUGGAGGUGUAGCCGUUUCCAAGGGUUGGACUGUUCGUCCAUUAAAAUCAUACAUGAUUUGAGUUCAGACCGGUGUGAGCCAGGUCGGUUUCUAUCUAUAAUUUAUUUAAGAAACAUAAGAUAAAACUAUAUUCUAGUACGAAAGGAUCGAGUGAUAGUUAUCCGCUGGUGUACCAAUUACUGUGGAGUAAUUAUAAAACGAGUGGUUGUUGGGUGGCUAGGAUAAUAUAAAAGAACUUUUUAAUCUUUGAAUGCAUCUCAAAAGAGAAAAAAGAUAUUAUUCUGUGUUUCUAGAAAUCAAAUAAUGACCCAUAAGGCAGUUUUAGAAUAAGACGUAAAUAGGGUUCAGAUGGUAGUUUAGAAUCACUAAUAUGGGGCUGGAUACUAAUUUUUCAA